rnacentral:tRNA from 1 species
GACGCUUUGCCGCAGUGGUUACCGGGUUCGCCUGCUAAGCGAAUAUGCUUUGCAUACGUGAGUUCGAAUCUCACAGGCGUCG